UGCACCGGUUCUCCUUCGAUCACUGAAGUAAAGCAACGUCGAGUCUGUUCAGUAUAUAGAUGAGUGCUCGCUUGGGAAUACCAAGUAUUGCAAG